UGGGGAAUUUUGGACAAUGGGCGAAAGCCUGAUCCAGCAAUGCCGCGUGUGUGAAGAAGGCCUUCGGGUUGUAAAGCACUUUUGUCCGGAAAGAAAUCCUUGGCUCUAAUACAGUCGGGGGAUGACGGUACCGGAAGAAUAAGCACCGGCUAACUACGUGCCAGCAGCCGCGGUAAUACGUAGGGUGCAAGCGUUAAUCGGAAUUACUGGGCGUAAAGCGUGCGCAGGCGGUUUGCUAAGACCGAUGUGAAAUCCCCGGGCUCAACCUGGGAACUGCAUUGGUGACUGGCAGGCUAGAGUAUGGCAGAGGGGGGUUAGAAUUCCACGUGUAGCAGUGAAAUGCGUAGAGAUGUGGAGGAAUACCGAUGGCGAAGGCAGCCCCCUGGGCCAAUACUGACGCUCAUGCACGAAAGCGUGGGGAGCAAACAGGAUUAGAUACCCUGGUAGUCCACGCCCUAAACGAUGUCAACUAGUUGUUGGGGAUUCAUUUCCUUAGUAACGUAGCUAACGCGUGAAGUUGACC
rnacentral:rRNA from 1 species